UACGGAGACCUCGAGCGUUACUCGGAUUCACUGGGCGUAAAGGGUUCGCAGGCGGCUAAAUGUGUCAGGUGUGAAAUCCCGGGGCUUAACUCCGGAACUGCGCCUGAAACUGUUUAGCUAGAGACUCGGAGAGGUGAGUGGAAUUCCAGGUGUAGCGGUGAAAUGCGUAGAUAUCUGGAGGAACACCAAUGGCGAAGGCA
rnacentral:rRNA from 1 species